rnacentral:rRNA from 1 species
GACGAACGCUGGCGGCGUGCUUAACACAUGCAAGUCGAACGGUAAGGCCCUUCGGGGUACACGAGUGGCGAACGGGUGAGUAACACGUGGGUGAUCUGCCCUGCACUUCGGGAUAAGCCUGGGAAACUGGGUCUAAUACCGGAUAGGACUCCUGCCUGCAUGGGUGGGGGUGGAAAGCUUUUGCGGUGUGGGAUGGGCCCGCGGCCUAUCAGCUUGUUGGUGGGGUGAUGGCCUACCAAGGCGACGACGGGUAGCCGGCCUGGGAGGGUGACCGGCCACACUGGGACUGAGAUACGGCCCAGACUCCUACGGGAGGCAGCAGUGGGGAAUAUUGCACAAUGGGCGCAAGCCUGAUGCAGCGACGCCGCGUGAGGGAUGACGGCCUUCGGGUUGUAAACCUCUUUCAGCACAGACGAAGCGCAAGUGACGGUAUGUGCAGAAGAAGGACCGGCCAACUACGUGCCAGCAGCCGCAGUAA